CUUUACCGCCACCACCACCCCCAGCUUCCACCCGUCUACCGGCAGCUUGACAACCUCGACUUCACCACUGCUGCCAAAAUCCUCUUCACCGAACCUCCCAAAAAGAAGAAGUUUGGGUUUGAUUUUCACUUGGUGCAGUUCUUCUUUGCUUGCAUGCCUUCAUUAGUUGUUUAUCUGGUGGCUCAAUAUGCACGCUAUGAAAUCAGAAGGAUGGAAGCGGAAGUAGAGAAAAAGAAGAAAGCUGAGGAAGAAGAGAAAACAAAAGAAGCAGGAAUCAGUUGCCGAGGAGGACGAUUCAAAGUUGUCAAAGGUGUUAGUAAGGCUAGAUGCACUAGAGGAUACUGUCAAAGAAAUUGUCGAUAGCAAGAAACCUUCAGAAACCGACCUGUCCAAGGAUCAAAGUGUUGCCAAAAAAGAUAAUUCUGCAACUGUUGACAAAGAUCCUGACCCAAAGAUCAAAUCGAAAUUAGCCGAGCCAACACCAGCCAACAGAAAAGACAUGAUCAGUAGCUCAAGUCCUCCAAUCAAUGUCACAGAGGAUAAGGAUCAAGAUAACAAGACUAGGGAGAAAGGUUCAUCCUCCAUGAAGUCAGGAAGACCA